UACGGGGGGGGCAAGCGUUGUUCGGAAUUACUGGGCGUAAAGGGCUCGUAGGCGGCCAACUAAGUCGGAUGUGAAAUCCCCAAGCUUAACUUGGGAACUGCAUCCGAUACUGGAUGGCUUGAAUCCGGGAGAGGGAUGCAGAAUUCCAGGUGUAGCGGUGAAAUGCGUAGAUAUCAGGAGGAACAUCGAUGGCGAAGGCAGCCCCUUGGACCUGUACUGACGCUCAUGCACGAAAGCGUGGGGAGCAAACAGG
rnacentral:rRNA from 1 species